UACGUAGGGUGCGAGCGUUAAUCGGAAUUACUGGGCGUAAAGCGUGCGCAGGCGGUUCGUCGUGUCCGAUGUGAAAGCCCCGGGCUCAACCUGGGAAUGGCAUUGGAAACUGGGAGACUUGAGUGUGGCAGAGGGGGGUGGAAUUCCACGUGUAGCAGUGAAAUGCGUAGAUAUGUGGAGGAACACCAAUGGCGAAGGCAGCCCCCUGGGUCAACACUGACGCUCAUGCACGAAAGCGUGGGGAGCAAACAGG
rnacentral:rRNA from 1 species